rnacentral:rRNA from 1 species
AGAGUUUGAUCCUGGCUCAGAUUGAACGCUAGCGGGAUGCCUUACACAUGCAAGUCGAACGGCAGCACGGACUUCGGUCUGGUGGCGAGUGGCGAACGGGUGAGUAAUGUAUCGGAACGUGCCCAGUAGCGGGGGAUAACUACGCGAAAGCGUAGCUAAUACCGCAUACGCCCUACGGGGGAAAGCAGGGGAUCGCAAGACCUUGCACUAUUGGAGCGGCCGAUAUCGGAUUAGCUAGUUGGUGGGGUAACGGCUCACCAAGGCGACGAUCCGUAGCUGGUUUGAGAGGACGACCAGCCACACUGGGACUGAGACACGGCCCAGACUCCUACGGGAGGCAGCAGUGGGGAAUUUUGGACAAUGGGGGAAACCCUGAUCCAGCCAUCCCGCGUGUGCGAUGAAGGCCUUCGGGUUGUAAAGCACUUUUGGCAGGAAAGAAACGUCAUGGGUUAAUACCCCGUGAAACUGACGGUACCUGCAGAAUAAGCACCGGCUAACUACGUGCCAGCAGCCGCGGUAAUACGUAGGGUGCAAGCGUUAAUCGGAAUUACUGGGCGUAAAGCGUGCGCAGGCGGUUCGGAAAGAAA